UCCUUACAAGAGAGAAAUUGGGACCCAGAGAUACUCGCAGAGAGAAGACGAUGUGAAGAUGGACACAGGGAGACACUGUGUGACCAGAGGCAGGGAAAGUCGGGUGAUAUGUCUAGAAGCCAAUAAACGCCAAAGAUUGCAACCACCAGAUGCUAAGAAGAAGCAAGGAAGGAUCCUCCCCCAGAGCCUUUGGAGAAAGCCUGGCUCUGUUGCCUCCUUGACCUUGGCUUUCUCGCCUUCCAAACUUUAUGAUCUACUCUUCAGAGACCUGUGAAGAUGAUGAGGUAACACUGAUACUGAUAAUAUUGUCUCCUUCCAUCCGGACACUGAUCUCUGUUACCAGGAGCCAGAAGCUCAGUGGCUUUUCACUGGAUGAAAUUGCUUUUCACCUGAUUCCUGCGGUGCAACGGGACUUAUGCAGACUUAGUAAGCAUCUCCA